AGAGUUUGAUCCUGGCUCAGGAUGAACGCUGGCGGUGCGUUUAACACAUGCAAGUCGAACGAGAACUUACUGAGUUUACUUAGUAGGUGAAAGUGGCGGACGAGCGAGUAACACGUAAGCAUCUACCCCGUACUCAGGGAUAACCCACCGAAAGGUGGGCUAAUACCGGAUGGUCUCGUAAGAGUAAAGCUUUUGCGGUACGGGAGGAGCUUGCGGCCUAUCAGCUAGUUGGUAAGGUAAUGGCUUACCAAGGCUAUGACGGGUACCUGGUGUGAGAGCAUGACCAGGCGCGAGGGGACUGAGACACGGCCCCUACUCCUACGGGAGGCAGCAGUGGAGAAUCUUCCGCAAUGGACGAAAGUCUGACGGAGCGACACCGCGUGGAGGAUGACGGCCUUCGGGUUGUAAACUCCUUUUCUGAGGGAAGAAAAUUUGACGGUACCUCAGGAAUAAGCCCCGGCUAAUUACGUGCCAGCAGCCGCGGUAAUACGUAAGGGGCAAGCGUUAUCCGGAAUUAUUGGGCGUAAAGCGUCUGUAGGUGGACAUACAAGUUGGUUAUUAAAUACCAGUGCUCAACAUUGGUGCUGUAACCAAAACUGUAUGACUAGAGGUAGGCAGAGGUAUGUGGAAUUGCACAAGUAGGGGUAAAAUCCGUAGAUAUGUGCAGGAACACCAAAAGCGAAGGCAGCAUACUGGGCCUUACCUGACACUCAGAGACGAAAGCGUGGGGAGCAAAACGGAUUAGAUACCCGUGUAGUCCACGCCGUAAACGAUGCAUGCUCGGUGUUGGGACCCUUGACCUGGUCUCAGUGCCUAAGGUAACCCGUUAAGCAUGCCGCCUGUGUAGUACGAGCGCAAGCUUAAAACACAAAGGAAUAGACGGGGACCCACACAAGCGGUGGAUCAUGGGGUUUAAUUCGUCAAUAAGCGGAUAACCUUACCCAGGCUUGACAUCCCGAUCGCACUUUCUAGAAAUAGAUUGGUCAGCUCGGCUGGAUCGGUGACAGGUGCUGCAUGGUUGUCGUCAGCUCGUGCCGUGAGGUGUUCGGUUAAGUCCGUAAACGAGCGCAACCCUCGUCGUAUGUUGUAUUUUCAUGCGAUACUGCCCGUUAAGC
rnacentral:rRNA from 1 species